rnacentral:tRNA from 1 species
GGACUUAUAGUUUAAUUGGCAAAAUAUCAGGCAUGAAGUUAUUGGUUCGAUUCCGAUUGAGUCCA